CUAUUAGUUAGUUAGGAUGUCAAUGUUAGUUGAGAUUGAUGUUAAAUGUGAGCAGUUAGGGAAGUGAAGGUGGCUUCAAUUUUUCUGUUAGGUGUUAGGUGAAAUGUUGGUGCAGUUAGACAAUUAGGGUAUGCACACAUGAGGAUUGAACAAAGUCUUCAAAGUAACUUGCAUCGUGGCUUGCACUUGAAAAAAAUGGGAACAUGGUGAAGGAAACAUUAAAAGUAAAUGGAUUCUUGAAGAUUCAAAGAUGACUUGUAGGAAAAAUAGAAAUAGGAACUAGGGUUUAGGAUGGGUAAAAAUAGUCAGUUGACUUUGGUGAACUGGUUGACCAAAAAGUCAAUAGUUGACCAAAAGUCAACUUAGGUAAAAUAUAUAUUUUUGUGUAUGGUUUAUGUGCCUUCCCGUGAAGGUAUGAGGUUGUUCAAUACGUUUGGGCCAUUUGGUGUGAACGAGUUAGCCUUUGAAUCAAUUAGGUCUUGUACCUUAUAUUU